AAUGCUGACAUAAGUAACGAUAAAGCGGGUGAAAAGCCCGCUCGCCGGAAGACCAAGGGUUCCUGUCCAACGUUAAUCGGGGCAGGGUGAGUCGACCCCUAAGGCGAGGCCGAAAGGCGUAGUCGAUGGGAAACAGGUUAAUAUUCCUGUACUUGGUGUUACUGCGAAGGGGGGACGGAGAAGGCUAUGUUGGCCGGGCGACGGUUGUCCCGGUUUAAGCGUGUAGGCUGGUUUUCCAGGCAAAUCCGGAAAAUCAAGGCUGAGGCGUGAUGACGAGGCACUACGGUGCUGAAGCAACAAAUGCCCUGCUUCCAGGAAAAGCCUCUAAGCAUCAGGUAACAUCAAAUCGUACCCCAAACCGACACAGGUGGUCAGGUAGAGAAUACCAAGGCGCUUGAGAGAACUCGGGUGAAGGAACUAGGCAAAAUGGUGCCGUAACUUCGGGAGAAGGCACGCUGAUAUGUAGGUGAAGUCCCUCGCGGAUGGAGCUGAAAUCAGUCGAAGAUACCAGCUGGCUGCAACUGUUUAUUAAAAACACAGCACUGUGCAAACACGAAAGUGGACGUAUACGGUGUGACGCCUGCCCGGUGCCGGAAGGUUAAUUGAUGGGGUUAGCGCAAGCGAAGCUCUUGAUCGAAGCCCCGGUAAACGGCGGCCGUAACUAUAACGGUCCUAAGGUAGCGAAAUUCCUUGUCGGGUAAGUUCCGACCUGCACGAAUGGCGUAAUGAUGGCCAGGCUGUCUCCACCCGAGACUCAGUGAAAUUGAACUCGCUGUGAAGAUGCAGUGUACCCGCGGCAAGACGGAAAGACCCCGUGAACCUUUACUAUAGCUUGACACUGAACAUUGAGCCUUGAUGUGUAGGAUAGGUGGGAGGCUUUGAAGUGUGGACGCCAGUCUGCAUGGAGCCGACCUUGAAAUACCACCCUUUAAUGUUUGAUGUUCUAACGUUGACCCGUGAUCCGGGUUGCGGACAGUGUCUGGUGGGUAGUUUGACUGGGGCGGUCUCCUCCUAAAGAGUAACGGAGGAGCACGAAGGUUGGCUAAUCCUGGUCGGACAUCAGGAGGUUAGUGCAAUGGCAUAAGCCAGCUUGACUGCGAGCGUGACGGCGCGAGCAGGUGCGAAAGCAGGUCAUAGUGAUCCGGUGGUUCUGAAUGGAAGGGCCAUCGCUCAACGGAUAAAAGGUACUCCGGGGAUAACAGGCUGAUACCGCCCAAGAGUUCAUAUCGACGGCGGUGUUUGGCACCUCGAUGUCGGCUCAUCACAUCCUGGGGCUGAAGUAGGUCCCAAGGGUAUGGCUGUUCGCCAUUUAAAGUGGUACGCGAGCUGGGUUUAGAACGUCGUGAGACAGUUCGGUCCCUAUCUGCCGUGGGCGCUGGAGAACUGAGGGGGGCUGCUCCUAGUACGAGAGGACCGGAGUGGACGCAUCACUGGUGUUCGGGUUGUCAUGCCAAUGGCACUGCCCGGUAGCUAAAUGCGGAAGAGAUAAGUGCUGAAAGCAUCUAAGCACGAAACUUGCC
rnacentral:rRNA from 1 species